rnacentral:tRNA from 1 species
GGGGAUUUAGCUCAGUUGGUAGAGUGCUUGCCUUGCAUGCACAAAGCCCUGGGUUCAAUCCCCAGCACCA